AUAAAGGCUAGAUGACAAGUGGGUGAACAAAUAGUUUGCAAUUGUUCAUGCCAUAGAGAACCUAUCUGUUUUAUUCCCUAUGAACUGCUUUCACCUCAGGAUUGCUCUUAAAACAUUACACAAACAACAGAGGGGUGCCUUUUAGCCAGCUGCCUUAGCCAUUCCUUUUGAAGCAGGUGUGCCACGUGAGUCUGCCAGCACAGACAUCAGUGAGCUCUCCUAGUGUGCCUUUGGCUUAUUAGGAGUAAUGCUUGCUACUUUCCAUUUUGUUGAAAGCCAGAGCUAUUAUGAUGCAGGUCCUCUUUAUCCGCUGAGACAAAGAGAAACAUAGCCCUAACUAUAAAAUAAGCUGACCAUAGUUUACCCAAAUAUGGGGACCAUGAUAAAGCAGAAUAUUUCCCCAUCCAAUAAACGAGGUCCAAGAGCUACUUGCAGAUCCCUGAGUGGAUGAAGGGUUUCUCAGGUGAAAGAUGCUGGGAACUGAGGAACCUCUGUUGAGUGGCUGUGGCUGAUGAGUUAGAGAUUAGCUGCAAAGUACUGACAGUAGAGAGCUGCUACCAUGUGGUUACCAGCUCUGAGCCUGGAUGAGCUGGAUCCAUACACACUCUGCUUGCUGGUGUGCAGUGAAAUCAGCUGUGUUGGUUCUGAUGUAUUUUUGGCUGUUUAGGGAUGAAAUGACAAGUUUAGACAGAGGUGUGGUUUCAAAUGGCAAGACUGCUUUGUUCAUGGUGACAAUUGAGAGUGCUGUGGUGUGACAACUAAGGAAAAAGUGAUGUGAGAGCAAAAGCUCUUUGUCAAGUAGCUGUUACUAAACAGUAAGGCUGCUGGAAAACCACUGCACCAAUGGUAUGGAAGCAUCAGCAUGGAGUUAUGCAGCAGUUAUGUGGACAAGCAUGGGCAGGCACUGCACUGUACUUUAAAGAGCAUAAAACAACAAGCAGAAUCACAACAGAAAAUGUAAAACCUUGUAAAUAAAUACCCUGCACUGAGCAUGCAUUAUUUAGUGCUCAUAUUGACCCAGAGGCUAUUCUAACUCCCUGCUUUUAGCCACCAAAGUGUUGUGCCCCUCUUCUUAAAGUGGUGGCCAAGCUAUUUAUCCCAAGUCUUUGUCUUCUCCGAGUUUUGCUUCCAGCAGCAGUAAGAGCACUUUGGCUUAGCUUCUAGCUACAUGUCACAGAACUAGCUACAGGAAACACAUGGGGCUGGAUUGGAAGUCGGUGAGCCCCCAGCAAGACUAGGGUGUGGUACAGGAAUCUCUGCUUGCUGCCUCAGUUCUGCUGGGAGAUGGUGGUUGAUGUUUCUGUUGUGGGAUUAGAUGGGUGAAGGUUGUGGGCACAGCCUGUAUGCUUGGCUUUUGUGCUUAUAGUGACACCAGUAAUGCUACAGAGUGAGUAGUCCUUUGGCUGUUCUUUCAAGGUGUGGAAUACUAGGAUUUAAAGAAAAUACAAAUUAAAAAAAGAUCCCUUAACAAUGCUUUCAAACGCAUUAGGUCUUAGCAGCUAGCUGUUGAAAAGGUGUGAGAGAAUCACGGUAAAAGGGCUGUUGAAAUACUCAGUAGUAAGCAUAUAAAUGACUGUCUAGGCAUAUGUAGUCCUGUGUGUAAAUCAGAGAUUGUUUAUUGUGAGAGCAUGUUCUCAAAGCAGCUGCUCACAAUGGCUUGUUGUACCAGUUUUACAAGAUUUUCUGAAGAAAAUCAAGAUACUGAGCUUAGUUUGCUGCCAGAGUUUGUUUCACACAGAAGUCCUGCAUCUUUGCACCCUGUGUUGGCAGGCUUUAUGCUUUGAAAAAUAACUUUGUUUCUCUUUCUUGAUCAGGAACAGAUCCAAGACUAAAUAAAGGGGGAGAAGAAUAUUUCUUUGCAGUUUUGUUUUCCUUUCAGAAACUGGAAGUUAGGAGGGAGAAGUACUAGAAACUGAAGUAAGGGUUUUUAGCCAUAGACUGUGAAUCGUCUAUUAAACCUCCCUGCCAUGUGUUCAGAAGUGAAAUGAAUGCAAGGAGCUAGAUGAUCUGCAAGGUCCUUUUCCACCCAGGCCAUUCUAUGCUUCUGGGAACUGGAGCCACAGCCACCUGCAUGGGGCAGGUGGAAGCAGCAAGGUGCAGCCUCUGUUCAGGAGCUGUGUAGAUGGGGUAAGCAAGGGUGCCCAGAACAAACCCUGGUGCAUCGCUGCACUUUUCUCCU
ensembl:lncRNA